rnacentral:rRNA from 1 species
UACGGAGGGUGCAAGCGUUAAUCGGAAUUACUGGGCGUAAAGCGCACGCAGGCGGUCUGUCAAGUCGGAUGUGAAAUCCCCGGGCUCAACCUGGGAACUGCAUCCGAAACUGGCAGGCUAGAGUCUUGUAGAGGGGGGUAGAAUUCCAGGUGUAGCGGUGAAAUGCGUAGAGAUCUGGAGGAAGACCGGUGGCGAAGGCGGCCCCCUGGACAAAGACUGACGCUCAGGUGCGAAAGCGUGGGGCGCAAACAGGAUUAGUUCCCCUGGUGGUCCCCGCCGUAAACGAUGUCGACUUGGAGGUUGUGCCCUUGAGGCGUGGCUUCCGGAGCUAACGCGUUAAGUCGCCCGCCUGGGGAGUACGGCCGCAAGGUUAAA